rnacentral:lncRNA from 1 species
GUAAAAUCUGGCUUUCUUCCCUCGUUGCUCCCGUCUCUCUCUGCUUCUUCUUCUUCCUCUCUCUUCCCUACUUCUACCUUUUCUGGAUCUUGAAACCCGCCCUCAAUCUCUCCAAAACGCAUGAAAAUUUCCAUAUAAUCUUUUGAUCCCUGUGUUUCAUCAACACAUUCCGUCCAAAUUUACUCUUUUAUACCCGUGUUGUUCCAUUGAUCUAACGCUUCUGAUUUGAUCACAUCUUGAGAGAUUGUUAAAAGGGAAAGAUCCUUUCAUCAUAUAAAGAAGUGGGUAUGUCUCAAAAAUUUUUCUUGUUUUUAUCAAUAUUACAUUUUUUUGGUAGUUUCCUGAUGCUGGUUUGCUUUAAAGUUUCUGACAUUUAUAAUCUUGUUAUAAAAUCUCUAGUAUUUUCCUGAUGAAAAGAUUGAAACUGUUUUCUCUUGUUAGAUUUGUGUUGCAUAGAAAUGAAAAUAAGGGGUUGAUUUGAGAGCAUUCUUGAUAAUGGGGUGGUUAAUUGCACUUUUAGUCUAGGUGCACCCAAACUGGCCGAACAGUUAUACAGAAAUUUGCAGUGUAGCAUGUGUCUUUUUCUAGCUUUAAUGGGUAAAAUGCCAAACAAUAAUGUCAUGGUGCAUAUACUUGUUUCACUUAAAAUAAUGUUAGUACUAAAUACUGUUUUUUGUAUGUCAGAAAUACUGUUUACUUUUGUUAUUUCUUGUGGUGUCAUUUAGAAUGUUGAGUCUUUAUAAUGGCCAUGAGUUAGGAUAUGUUUACUAACACAUUAUUAUGGUGACUUUGUAAAAGUCUUCUUGCUAAAGUCUUUGUUUAGCUGACCUCACUAACUUUGGUGUGAAUGUUUAUGCAAGUGCACCCUAUUAUUGAAGUUAUUUACUUUGUAGGUCCCAUAUAGGAAGUCAUUUUACAUGUUAAUGUUUGAUCUUUUUGACUAGCGCCUCAUUGUAUAGUCUAGCAGUCAAUGAAGUUAGAAUAGACCAUAGGAGAUCUAGGUUCAAAUUCCGGCUGAGAUAAAAAAAAUGCUAGGUGAUUUCUUCCUAUCUGUCGAAGCUUUGGUAGACAGAGUUACCCUGUACUGAAUUGGUACGAAGAUAGCAGGUGCCUGGUGAAUUAGUCAGAGUUGUGCGGAGGCUGACCUGGAUAAAAAAGAGGUCUUUGUGACCAUCUCAUGUAGUUGACUUUGAUACAACCAUUUAACUUGACUGAUUUUAGUGUUUCUAAUUGAAUACUUUGUUUGAAAUUUUCUCUUCUCAUAAAUUGAUUUUGCCUUUUGACUAUCAGGUCACCUGAGUGCCCCUCAAAUCUGUUACCUUUAUUGAGUGUAGUAAAUAGGGAUGCAUAACAUUGUAGAGAGCCUCAUUUCCCCAGGUCAAUUUCCUUUCCUAGUCAUACUAAUUUGCAUGUGGAUGGUGGUUGUUUCCUAUUAAUGGAUGCUGGGGUCCUAUGAGGGUGUAUUUUGUGGAUGAGGUGUAUGUAGUUACCGUGAAUUAGAUAUUUAAUACUAUUUGCUAGCCGUAUUGUGAACUAGUACUCUACCUUCUGAAGGUUUUAUUUGCAUAUUUGUUGACUUUAUUAAGCUUUAUCUGACAUAGAAUCUACAUAAGGGCAAUCUACAUUUAGAGACCAGGUUUUGGUACUAAGUCACUUUCUUCUGGGAGAUAAAACUCCUAAUUGUCUUUUAGGCUUUUGUGGGGACGUUGAGAAGUGGGACACAAGUGGUUGGUUUUCUCUUUUUUAUGUUAGCUCUGGCAGUUUUAUGCAUGACCAAAGAUGGUCAACUUUUUCCAAUGAUAGCAAGCUUGCUAUAUUGGAACUUAAACUCCAGAUCAUUUCCGGCGUGAGAAAAAGAAGACAAACUACAAUGUCACUGUACAAUACUUGUCACAAGAGAAAUAACACUAUGCAAUACUGCGAUUUAGUAUUUAAUCAUCAGUCAUGGUGACAGGUCAAAUUUUGGCAACAUAUUACUUUUAUGGGCAAAUAUUCUUGAUUUUUCAUAGGAAGAUGGUUAGAUUGUAUAGCAGUGAAAAUUGAGUAUUUUGUUCACUUGAACUUUUGGGCGUUCCCUAUGUUUCUGUGGUGUCAUCGGAUACAUGUAUUUUGUUUAAAAAAAUCCUUCCUGCGUGAUAAAUUUUAUCAAUAGUUAGCAUUUUUAUGCCUUUCUACUGAAUACCACAUACUUUGCUUCCCGUUUGAAGUAUUCUUUUCAGUUUUUGAGAGGGAACCCCCUAGUCUUCCCUACAGCUUGAGAACUAGAGUUAAAAGAAAAUAUUAAUCUUUUUCUGUUGGCACUUUUCUUUCUGUGACUUGUGUCUUUCUCACUAGUUUUAUGGUCAUUGUUUACAGUCCCCCCCCNNNNNNNNNNNNUUUUUGGUUUUUUUUUCCCCCCCCCCCCCCCCCCCCACACAUAUAUAUACACACACCCUUUUCCCUUCUCGCUCACACCCUUGUCUCGAAGAAGUGGAAAAAGAUGAAAAGAAAAAAAAUCAAUUCAGACGGUGUAAGGAUUAGUUGCCUUUUGCAUUACAAGGGAGUAAUAUUUUGUGGUGUAACAUUGGUGUGACUUGGUCACUUACAACAACAACAACCCAAUAUAAUCCCACUUAGUGGGGUCUGGGGAGGGUAGUGUGUACGCAGACCUUACCCCUACCCUGGGUAGAGAGACUGUUUCCAAAUAGUCCUUCCCUCCAAGAACUUCCCACCUUUACUCUUGGGGAGACUCGAACUCACAACCUCUCGGUUGGAAGUGGGGGUUGCUUACCAUCAGAGCAACCCCUCUUGUCAGGACUUGGUCACUUAAAUAGAAUUAAUUGAAUUCUUUGGAGAUAGCAAUUUUGGCUUUCUUAUAUCAUGUCACCAACCACAAGUGAGUGUUUUACCAGCACAAUUUUGCCUCAAGUCUUAUAGCAGUACUUCCUUCCAUUUUUCUUCAAGGUUUGCGCUUAAAGAGUCUGCAACAAGAAGCAGGGGAAGCGGGAGGUGGCAAGGAUGGGGCAUUAGACGAGCAACAGCUAAUUGGUCGUGUAUAAUUUCCUUUCCUUACCUAUUAUAAAUAGACUGUAUCCUAUUGAAGAAUCUUGUAGAAGAAUGCCACUUUGUUUUAUGGGAAAGCAAAGUUUAGACUGGAUUCUUUGCUGAAGUUUUAAGUUUCUGUCUUUUUCUUUUUAUGCAGGUAUCUAAAAGCUGUCCCUUUUAGGAGGACUGAAUAAAAUAGGAAAGAGUUACCCAGCAGUGAAGUGGCUGGAAGAAGUUGUAGUACAGGGUUAAUAGAAAGUUCCUAUGUUAAAUUACCUUGUCAUUCUUCGCCUUCAUAUACAACUACUAUAUUGAGAUUCCUUUCUUCUCUUUAACCAGUUCCUAAGCUGAAGCCUCGUCUUACAUAUUCCUGCAUUCCCUUACAAGUUUUCCUGACGGCCUUCUGCCUAUUUGUGCUUUAAAUUCAUUACUUUUGGUGUUUAUAAGCAACUAUGGUGUUCUAGCUGCCAUUUUACUCAAAGAUAAGUUUUCCUGACAGCCUUCUGCCUAUUUGUGCGUUAAAUUUAUUACUUUUGGUGUUUAUAAGCAACUAUGGUGUUCUAGCUGCCAUUUUACUCAAAGAAG